UACCAGCCGGGGAGUUAGCGGCGCCCUGUACCUGAAAUCCGCUACAGCAGGGGUGGAAUCCCCUUUUGAGAGUCGAUCGUUUCUGAAUGAGUUGUCUUGUCUGUGAUGACGGAUGGGUCUUGCGCAAUGCGGAGCCGUGAACCAUGUCAGGUGGGGAACCAAGCAGCAUUAAGCGGUGAACCGCAUGUGCCGCAAGAGUGCCUGUCCUGAGCAGAGAAGGCAAAGAUCGCUGGGGCGUGACGCCCAAGGG
rnacentral:SRP_RNA from 1 species